UCCUACGGGGCGCAGCAGUGGGGAAUAUUGCACAAUGGGGGGAACCCUGAUGCAGCAAUGCCGCGUGGGUGAAGAAGCACUCCGGUGCGUAAAGCCCUGUCAGCAGGGAAGAAAAUGACAGUACCUGGACAAGAAGCCCCGGCUAACUACGUGCCAGCAGCCGCGGUAAUACGUAGGGGGCAAGCGUUAUCCGGAUUUACUGGGUGUAAAGGGAGCGUAGGCGGCCUUGCAAGUCAGAAGUGAAAUCCAUGGGCUUAACCCGUGAACUGCUUUUGAAACUGUAGGGCUUGAGUGAAGUAGAGGCA
rnacentral:rRNA from 1 species